rnacentral:rRNA from 1 species
AUUGAACGCUGGCGGCAGGCCUAACACAUGCAAGUCGAGCGGAUGAAGGGAGCUUGCUCCUGGAUUCAGCGGCGGACGGGUGAGUAAUGCCUAGGAAUCUGCCUGGUAGUGGGGGAUAACGUCCGGAAACGGGCGCUAAUACCGCAUACGUCCUGAGGGAGAAAGUGGGGGAUCUUCGGACCUCACGCUAUCAGAUGAGCCUAGGUCGGAUUAGCUAGUUGGUGGGGUAAAGGCCUACCAAGGCGACGAUCCGUAACUGGUCUGAGAGGAUGAUCAGUCACACUGGAACUGAGACACGGUCCAGACUCCUACGGGAGGCCGCAGUGGGGAAUAUUGGACAAUGGGCGAAAGCCUGAUCCAGCCAUGCCGCGUGUGUGAAGAAGGUCUUCGGAUUGUAAAGCACUUUAAGCUGGGAGGAAGGGCAGUAAGUUAAUACCUUGCUGUUUUGACGUUACCAACAGAAUAAGCACCGGCUAACUUCGUG